GCCUUCGUGGUGUAAUGGUCAGCACACUGAGCCGGUAUUUCAGAGGUCCGCGGUUCGAUUCCCGGCGCAGGCG
rnacentral:tRNA from 1 species